GCGACGGCGUCGACAGCAGCGACAGCGACAGCAGCUGCAAGCAACGGACAAAGGCAAAAGAAAACAAAGUAUUAGUGGAAGGCAAACACACAAUAGUAGAAACAAUGAAAAGUACAGCUCACGAAAGCAGCAACAAAAACAAUAGCAUACAAACAGUGCAAACACAACGGUUGGAGCCAGAGCGCUAAAGCGCAAGAGAGAGAGAGCGUAAGAGCGCGUGAGAGUAAUAACAGAAACUCACUCAGCAACAACAACUCAAGGCAAAAGAAAAGUAAACAGAACGAAAAGCCAGCACAACAUAAUUGAAGGAGAGGGACAAGCCAAAGAACGACAUAAUGAGAGAACAUGUGAGAGAGCAAGAGAGUGCUGGAUGGCGCUAAAAGUGUGCGUAUUGGAGAGUCCGCAAAGUUAAAUCUCUUCCUUAGCCAGCUUUUUCCACCUUCACACACCCACCACAUUUAUCUUGGCAUACCUCACCUCAAGUCCCACAUUCAAUCUACGUGUGCUACACGCAUUUUGAAUGAUAAUUUCAAAAUGAAAAAGUUGAAGUACGCAUAGAUGUAAUACAAGUUCUAUCACGAGAGCAGCCCACAUAUGUACAAGGCGGACUGUUGGCACUUCUAUCCACAACAGUUUUUAUGACAGGAAGAAAUCCAUCAACACGAUUCUUCUGGCCACAAUGGGCAGAGAUUUUCCAACCAAAAUGUAAGGAACCCAUAAAUUGCGACUAAUAAAUA